UACGUAGGGUGCAAGCGUUGUCCGGAAUUAUUGGGCGUAAAGAGCUCGUAGGCGGUUUGUCGCGUCUGCUGUGAAAACCCGAGGCUCAACCUCGGGCCUGCAGUGGGUACGGGCAGACUAGAGUGCGGUAGGGGAGAUUGGAAUUCCUGGUGUAGCGGUGAAAUGCGUAGAUAUCGGAAGGAACACCAGUGGCGAAAGCGGCUUCCUGGUCCGACACCGACGUUCAGGCACGAAAGCGUGGGGAGCAAACAGG
rnacentral:rRNA from 1 species